rnacentral:lncRNA from 1 species
UUUGUGUCAUCCUGGAUCUAAUCAAUGAUCGUGGCAGAAGUUUUAUAUAAGCCAUCCUUUGCCAAAGUUUUAUGUAUACAAUCUUGCAAGUCACAAGCCUCCUUUCCUCUUCUAAACUAUAGUUUAAAAGAAAAAUUCAUUUCUUUUAUUGGGUAAUCAAAAUUCAAGGCUUGAUCUUUCUAUCAUUGUGUGUGCACACUUGAUAGAAAUAAACUGAGUAAUCCUGA